CCUACGGGUGGCAGCAGUGAGGAAUAUUGGUCAAUGGCCGUAAGACUGAACCAGCCAAGCCGCGUGAAGGAAGAAGGAACUAUGGUUUGUAAACUUCUUUUAUCAGGGAAUAAAGGUAUCCACGUGUGGCUAUUUGCAUGUACCCUAUGAAUAAGCAUCGGCUAACUCCGUGCCAGCAGCCGCGGUAAUACGGAGGAUGCGAGCGUUAUCCGGAUUUAUUGGGUUUAAAGGGUGCGUAGGGUGUUUUUUAAGUCAGCGGUGAAAGGUUGUGGCUCAACCAUGAAAGUGCCGUUGAAACUGGAAGACUGGAGUGGGUGAGAGGUAGGCGGAAUGCGUGGUGUAGCGGUGAAAUGCAUAGAUAUCACGCAGAACUCCGAUUGCGAAGGCAGCUUACCAAGCCAUAACUGACACUGAGGCACGAAAGCGUGGGGAUCAAACAGGAUUAGAUACCCGAGUAGUC
rnacentral:rRNA from 1 species